GUGGGGAAUAUUGGGCAAUGGGGGCAACCCUGACCCAGCAACGCCGCGUGAGGGAAGAAGGUUUUCGGAUUGUAAACCUCUGUCCUAUGGGAAGAAGGAAGUGACGGUACCAUAGGAGGAAGCCCCGGCUAACUACGUGCCAGCAGCCGCGGUAAUACGUAGGGGGCGAGCGUUGUCCGGAAUUACUGGGCGUAAAGGGUGCGCAGGUGGCCUGACAAGUCAGAUGUGAAAUACCGAUGCUUAACGUCGGGGCUGCAUUUGAAACUAUGAGGCUGGAGUGCAGGAGAGGGAAGCGGAAUUCCUAGUGUAGCGGUGAAAUGCAUAGAUAUUAGGAGGAACACCGGUGGCGAAGGCGGCUUUCUGGACUGUAACUGACACUGAGGCACGAAAGCGUGGGGAGCAAACAGGAUUAGAUACCCUUGUAGUCC
rnacentral:rRNA from 1 species